rnacentral:lncRNA from 1 species
UGGUCCCGCGAUCCUACUUGAGGGAAAACAGGCUAUCUCUUUAGCCCCGCCCCGCGCUUUGCAUUCUGGGAAGCGGAGUUCCAGCCUUUCUCUUUCCGCGGGAGGGAAUGAAAGGGAGGGUAGACUGAGAACGAAUCAUCUCAGUACAACUGGGAAUUUAGCCACAUAGGGGUUGGAUUCCACCGCAAGUAAAAAGUUAGUCCUUCUCUAAAGUACAGACAUGCCCUGUGUUUGUUGCAGACCCCUCCCUCUAGAGGGACUUUAUCUUUUAAGCAUUUCAAGAAACAGGAGUUCCUUCUCUGCUUUGCACCACCUUAGCACUCAUGUCUGGGGCUCCUUUAGAUUCCCCUGCCAGUGUCCACCGAAAGCUCUGAGGGUUUCUGUUUCUCCUAGAGGAGUUCUUUGCUUAAAUCAAGCUUAAUCUUUACUAUGUGCACAGAUUUGGCAAAUGCUGCCAUGAAGAAAACUGUUGGUCUCAUCUUUCCCAAGAAAUAUUCCAUCUCUGGAAACAGUUCAUUUAGUCCUCUUUGCAUCCUCCCUACUUCGAUGUCUUACAAACUUGACUUUGGGAUGUAUGCAUUUUUUUCUAUUUGUUGAAGUGGGAGUUGUAACUUGUACCCUGCCUUCUUCAUUCCACUCAGUGGUUAAAAUAGACCAAAAUUUUAAUGAGUUUAUUACCUUUUAUUGGUCCUGACUGGUACAAAUACUGAUAAAAAGGAUUUUAAGAUCAUAUUCAUACUUUUGGGGAAUGAGAGCCACAAUUAAUUAACAAUGUCUGCCAUGAGAUUGGAUGCAAGAGUAUGGCACUCAUACUAUUCCUACUUCUGUCUAAUUACACUAUUUGUUUCUGUGUGCAAAAAUCUUUGGUAGGUGGUGGAUGUGCCCAAGACACAGGGAAGAAAAAGAAGUAAACAGGGAAGUACAACACAGACUCUGAAAUGGGGCAUCAUGGAAGACGGAGCUUUGUCGUCUUGGUCUUUGCUGUAUAUUCACUUCCUACAACAGUGCUAAAUACCUUGUGGAUGCUUAAAUAUAUUAAAUGAAUGCAUAAAUGAAAAGAGUAAAUAAAGAGUGUAUAUGAAAGUAUGUAGAUAAAAUUCUUCACUAAGCCUUGGGGAUCCAGCUGCUUAAGGACUAAGACCGUAUCUAGCUCCUUUUAGUAUUUCCACAGCAUGCCAUGGAGAUACAUGUUUCUGAUUAUAUAUGAUACAUGGAAAUUAUAUGUUGUUGAAUGAGUGAUUGAGUAAAUGUGUACUAGGGCAGCUAAUCAUAAAUAUUUCUACUAUUGCUAAAAUGACUGGAUUUAUCCAUUCCUUCUGAGAGUUUAUACUGAUUGCUUAUAUUGUAUCAAAUACCGUAACUGAGGGCAAUGUUUACUCAAACUAAUAGCACCAUUCAAAUUUAUGCAAACAAUAACACUAUAUCUUUAAAAUGUUUUCACUAAAAGCUGCAUAAAGAGUGUAUUCAACAACAAUAGAAUAAUUUUACAAUCUUUUUUCUUGCUUAAUGGCCAUUUGUGCCUUCUGACAUGCUGCUAGCCAUUCAAAGGUCACACUACCUUGAAGUUGAAGAUCAAGACAAAUGAUUAGACUCAUAAAAGACAAAUCACGUCUUUCUGGACAGGUGAUUAUUAAUAAUUAAUUAGCAUUUAAACAUGUAUUAUUUAAGUUCUUUUUAAGUUAUAAAGUCUUUGAUUUGCUAAACAGUUUAAAUAAUGAAUAAAACAUAAAAUAAUAAUAGUUACCAUUUAUUUAAUUCCAUAAUAACUGAUUUGUAUGUAUUAUAAGCUUUCUUUCUGAAAGCAGAGUUUGGAGGUGGGUUCAUAACUUUCUACAAACAGAAAACUGAGAUUUAGAGGGUUAGCUAGGGAAGAAUUUAAAAUUAGAUCCGUCUUAUUAAAAAAACAAUCUAUGUUCUUGUCUUAGUCAGCUUGGGCCUCCAUAACAAAAUACAAUGGACUGUUGGCUUCAAAAACUGAAACUUAUUUUCUCACAGUUUUGGUGGCUGGUGGGUCAGAGAUCAAGGUGUUGGCCAAAUGUGUUUUUUUUUUUUUUUUUGAGGAUUCUCUUCCUGGCUCACAAAUGGCUGCUUUCCUUGUCAUUGAUGACUUGAUACAGAGGGGGAGAGGGAGAGAGAGAGAGAGCAAAGUGUGUGUUUGUGUGUGUGUCUCUGUGUGUGUUUAUAUUAGAGAGAGAGAGAGACAGAGAUCUUACACUUUUUAUAAGGUCACAGUCUUGUGGUAUUAGUACCUCAUUUUUAUGACCUCAUUUAACCUUAAUUACCUCCUAGAGCCUUUAUCGCCAGAUACAGUCACAUUUCACAUCGAAGGUUUGGGCUUCGACAUAUAAAUUCUGUGGGAUACAAUUCAGUCCAUAGCAAUUCUGAAGCACUAUAAUAUACUCUUUUAAUUUUUAAAUAAAGAUGGAAUUAUUUAA